AUCCACAGAAUGCCAGUUGUGCAGAUAUUUACAACCGGAGCCAGAUUGUCUAUAGCAUCACCUACCUGUUCCUGAUGCUUUUCAAGAUUGUGGUGCCUAUUGUCACACUUUUAGCUGUCUUUCACCCUGUGUCUCGAUACACCGAUAGCAACCAGGAGGACUUUCUAACCAGUGAUACACAAUAUGGGGUAAGUGCAUUGAUAAUUAAUUGAAUUAAAGUUGGUUUGUUUUAAAGGCAGCUGUUGAAAACUUCACUCAUUGAUUACGGCCAUGUAUCACUUUUGGAAACAUCCGCCGAGCUGCUUACUCAUUUGCAUCACCUUGAAUCAGA